UACGAAGGGGGCUAGCGUUGUUCGGAAUCACUGGGCGUAAAGCGCACGCAGGCGGAUUGAUAAGUCGGGGGUGAAAUCCCGGGGCUUAACCUCGGAAUUGCCUUCGAUACUGUCGGUCUCGAGUCCGGGAGAGGUGAGUGGAAUUCCUAGUGUAGAGGUGAAAUUCGUAGAUAUUAGGAAGAACACCAGUGGCGAAGGCGGCUCACUGGCCCGGUACUGACGCUCAGGUGCGAAAGCGUGGGGAGCAAACAGG
rnacentral:rRNA from 1 species